rnacentral:rRNA from 1 species
AUGGAUAAACAGGAGGAAUCUGCCAUGGCUCAGCAUUUGCUUGUUGCAGCAGACAAGCAUGAUUUGGAGAGGCUGAAGCUGAUUUGUGAAGAGAAGUUGUGCAAUUGUAUCGAUACGAGCUCCGUGGCGACUAUCUUGGCCUUGGCGGAGCAGCACCACUGCCAUGAGCUUAAGGCGACAUGCUUGGUGUUCCUCAGCUCGCCGAACAAUCUGGAUGCAGCCAUUGAGUCUGAAGGUUUCGAGCUUUUAACCAAGAGAUGCCCUGGUGUUAUUAAGGAUCUCCUCAAGUCCCAGGUUGCUCCUAGUAUACUUGGGAAAAGAAAAUCUGGAGCAUGA